rnacentral:rRNA from 1 species
AGAGUUUGAUCCUGGCUCAGAGCGAACGCUGGCGGCAGGCCUAACACAUGCAAGUCGAACGAACUCUUCGGAGUUAGUGGCGGACGGGUGAGUAACACGUGGGAACGUGCCUUUAGGUUCGGAAUAACUCAGGGAAACUUGUGCUAAUACCGAAUGUGCCCUUCGGGGGAAAGAUUUAUCGCCUUUAGAGCGGCCCGCGUCUGAUUAGCUUGUUGGUGGGGUAAUGGCCCACCAAGGCUACGAUCAGUAGCUGGUCUGAGAGGAUGACCAGCCACAUUGGGACUGAGACACGGCCCAAACUCCUACGGGAGGCAGCAGUGGGGUAUCUUGCGCAAUGGGCGAAAGCCUGACGCAGCCAUGCCGCGUGUAUGAUGAAGGUCUUAGGAUUGUAAAAUACUUUCACCGGUGAAGAUAAUGACUGUAGCCGAGAAGAG